UGUGCUGUACUACAUAAAUGUUUACAGCUAUUAUUUUUGUAGCUUAACACAUUUUAAUAUGGCGUUAGCAGGUCGCAGAGUUAGGAAGGAGCAAGGCCAUGGAGGGCUUUGAAGGCGAAAGGUCUGCAGGUAGCAAUUUUUUGCCUUCUCCACACAAAUUUCUGAGAAUUACAAUAUUCCUGCUUUUCCGAUCACCUGCAAUAAGUUGCAAUGGUCUGAGAAAAUGGGAGGUGAACGAGUCUGUGACCUUGGCUUUUUGUACAAAGCUUCAUUCUUCAAAAGAUUGUAUACAAACCCAUCCCCAACAUGCAAUCAGAGGGCAUCCAACUCUCAGAAUACAGGUACUCUUUAUCCAAUUUUGUUUCCCGAUAAGGCUUUGCUGGCACCGAUACAGCCACAGACUUGUUGACAGGAGGCAGAAAUGUCACUAGGGCUGAAGGUCACUGGUUCGUGCAGUGGAGCAAGAAAAGGGUAGAACACGAGAGCAGAGAGCAGCGUUCCAGGCCCUGGGGGCUCCAGACAUGCUGACAUUUCCCAGACUGCGAGCGGCAACGUGUUAACCCCUUCAGCACCGAACUGUUCAAUUUUCAAAAUUCCUAUUGGAUUUUAACCAGACUUCAUCCCAGGGCCGGGUGAACUGGUCUCUGCCAUAAAACCUUAUUACCACAAGGACCUGAGAAGGCAGGAAAAAUUGUUGAUGUGAUGACUACAGACGGAUGCCCCGUGGCAUUGGUUUGCCUCCAUGGCACUGUGAGGAGAGAUCAGGAGUUGCGAAAGGAUACAUCUCUGGUCAUUAUAUAAACAGCACAGAAUGCUAAUCUUCAUUGAUGCAAAACUACAAAUCACCCUCUGAGACAGUAACUUGAAGAGCUUCACUGCUGCCUGUUUGUAAUGGAGCCAAAAUAAACAAGGAAUACUCCCAAGUAAUCUCCAGA